GCAGGGGAGAUAAGUGCUCCAUGAGAGGAAACCACAGCGGUUCUAAAGAAUUUGUGCAGGGAAGCCUGUGUUUCCUACAGACUGGGCUGGUCAACUAAAAGAGAAGACUCAUGGGAGGGAGGCGGCAAAACAGGGUUCAAAGGAUUGAGCUGAAAAAGAUUCUUAUCUGAGCCGAUUGACUUUUCCUCACAGAGACUAAACUUUUGACAAUUUGUGGGGACACGAUCAUAAAAUAUACCUUUCAGUGGUUAAUUUUGAA